GGGAGUAGUUCGUAGUCUGGUGGCGCGCUCGGUCUUCAAAACCGAUGGGGGAGGCAUCCCCUCCCUGGUGGGUUCGAUUCCCAUCUACUCCCGCCA
rnacentral:tRNA from 1 species